AUUGAACGCUGGCGGCAUGCUUUACACAUGCAAGUCGAACGGCAGCGCGGGCUUCGGCCUGGCGGCGAGUGGCGAACGGGUGAGUAAUACAUCGGAACGUGCCCAGUAGUUGGGGAUAGCUCGGCGAAAGCCGGAUUAAUACCGCAUACGACCCGAGGGUGAAAGCGGGGGAUCUUCGGACCUCGCGCUAUUGGAGCGGCCGAUGGCAGAUUUGCUAGUUGGUGGGGUAAAGGCCUACCAAGGCGACGAUCUGUAGCUGGUCUGAGAGGACGACCAGCCACACUGGGACUGAGACACGGCCCAGACUCCUACGGGAGGCAGCAGUGGGGAAUUUUGGACAAUGGGCGAAAGCCUGAUCCAGCAAUGCCGCGUGUGUGAUGAAGGCCUUCGGGUUGUAAAGCACUUUUGGCGGGAACGAAAAGGACUGUGCCAAUACCACGGUUCGAUGACGGUACCCGCAGAAUAAGCACCGGCUAACUACGUG
rnacentral:rRNA from 1 species